GGAGAGGUGCGAGAGCGGUUGAAUCGGCGUGCUUGGAAAGCACGUGUAGUCGCAAGGCUACCCUGGGUUCGAAUCCCAGCCUCUCCG
rnacentral:tRNA from 1 species